CGAAUAAACACAAUUCAUGAUGACAGCUUAUAGUUUCCAAUCAAAACAAACUGAGAAGCAUUUUGUUUUCUUUCAUAUUGAUAUGAAAUGAUAUGCCCUGGUCGGAUGGUGUUGGCUGUCUCGAAUUUCGGAUAAUUCGAUAUUUUUUUCUUGGUCCCAUGAAUAUCGAGACAGCGGUGCUCGACUCUACUUACUACCAA